AUGCAACGAGCGACCGCCAAAGGGAAUGCGCGACGACAGCGGCCCCCGGCCCCAACGGGUGGAGGAGCGAGGGGACGCGGCCGUGGCUCCACGCACGUCCGCCGCCGGGCUCUGCUCCCGGCCCGGGCGCUGCCAUCUGUUUCUUUUCCAAGAAGAAGCCCCGUUUCGACGUUUCGGGCGGCUGCGAGAAGUCUUUUGGAAACCAUCGAAAGGACGAGCCCAGGUGGAGGGAACAGGACGGCCGCCCCUUACCGAGGCCGAGACACGGAGAGCGUCCCUCGGUCACCCCGAGCGGAACGGGACAGCCGUCCCCCGGGCUCUCGGCCCACAGAGCGGGGCACAUCGGGCGAGCGGACCCCGCUGUGCGCGGAGCGCUUCGCGUCCUCCCAUGGAAAUUCGCUGUCUCGCCACGAGCGCGCCCGAGGCUCCUUCCCCCCGCGGCGGCGCUACCGGUGCCCGGCGGGAUCGGGCCGGUGCGGCUCGCGGGGCCGCACUGAAUCCCGGGGACGGUGGGGGUCGAACCCCGGGCAGGAAGGGACCGGCGCUCCGGGACCCGGUGCACCGGGAGGCUCAGGGACUGCCUCCGGCGGGCGGGAAAAUGCGGAAAACAAAAUCUCGGCUCUGGACGCGCACCGGGCGGCAGGGCCGCGCCGGCCUGGCACUUCGGUACCGUGGCUCCCUCUCCCCGCCCCGUCGGGCCCGUGGUCAUCGGAGAGCAGGGGCGGUUUGCCACAAAGAGGGCACCGGGGCUCCGCCCGCGUUUUGCCGCUCAGCAGCGGCUCCUGGCGGAGCCCGGCCCGACGGGGCGGCUCCCGACGGCGGAGGCACGGAGCUCUCAGCCGAGGAAGGGGGCUCGAUGCCGUUCCGCCGUCGGGCCCAGGGCUGCCGGGAGGGCCAGGAAGCUCCGCCGGGCUGCGCAGGGAAAUCCCGGGGUCGGGGUGCGGUGGCAGCCGCAGGGCCUCGGCAGCGAGCCGGCAGCCGACCGUAGGCGGCAAGGGCCGCUGGAGUGGGGCAGUGCGCGGCACCGGGCAGGGGGUGGAGGGGCCGGGCGGAGACCUGAGCUUCCCGACGACCUCCCUCGCCCGGAGCCCGUAG
rnacentral:lncRNA from 1 species